rnacentral:misc_RNA from 1 species
GUAGGUGAACCUGCGGAAGGAUCAUUCAUAAUAAGUGUUUUAUGGCACUUUUUUAAAUCCAUAUCCACCUUGUGUGCAAUGUCAUGGUUGAUUUUUCUCUCGAGAGGAUCAGCCCCAAACAUCAACUAUAUCUCAACUCUUUGUCUGAAAAAUAUUAUGAAUAAAACAAUUCAAAAUACAACUUUCAACAACGGAUCUCUUGGCUCUC